AGCAGUAGCCGCGGUAAUACAGAGGGUGCGAGCGUUAAUCGGAUUUACUGGGCGUAAAGCGUGCGUAGGCGGCUAAUUGAGUCGGAUGUGAAAUCCCCGAGCUUAACUUGUGAAUUGCAUUCGAUACUGGUUAGCUAGAGUGUGGGAGAGGAUGGUAGAAUUCCAGGUGUAGCGGUGAAAUGCGUAGAGAUCUGGAGGAAUACCGAUGGCGAAGGCAGCCAUCUGGCCUAACACUGACGCUGAGGUACGAAAGCAUGGGGAGCAAACAGGAUUAGAUACCCGCGUAGUCCCUGUCUCUUAUAC
rnacentral:rRNA from 1 species